UUGAGAAAUGGCAAAUGAUUGGAAGGAUUAAAGUGGUCAUUAAUGAAGAAAUGUGGGUUGGGUUCUGCAGUGCAUGUGUUCCCUUCCCUUCAUCACUUAACCUCUCACCACACCAGAAGCUGCCGAAACACACAAACUCUCUCUCUCACCGGUUGGUUCGAUUGCAUUUGCUUUACAUUUGGUGACCGUACGUUUGAGUUGGGGAAGAAAAGCAAGAGUGCUUGUCCGCUGAGACCGCAAAGCCACAGAUCGAACUAAAACCCCAACACAGAAUCUUUUCCUUCAUCUGAUCAUUCAAUUGCUAUGAGCAAGAGGAAGCUUCCCUCUGAUGAUCUCAGCCCUCCGUCUUUCUCUCCUUGUUCUUCGGGUACCAUGCCAUGUUCUUCUGGAAUGGAUUUAUUAACACAAGAGCAUCAUCCAAGCCUUGGGCGAUCAAUGUUCCUUAAACGCUCACAUCAUCACUAUGCGCAUCAAUACUCUCGACGUAACUCAGGCAGUCUUGCUAACAAAUCAACUUCUCGUGGAAAAGGAGUGCCUUUGCGUGACGAUACACUCUCCUAUAAGUUGGCUACUCAAUCCAGCUUCGAGUCCAGACGUCAUUCAGGUUUUAUUUUGUAUUGCCCCCUUUUUCUUCUCCUUAUUUUGUUCAACUUCAAAAUACCUUCAUGAGGUUCUUUAGUUUUUAUGGAAGAUGAAGACAACGAGAACUCUUGUAUGCUACAUGGAUGAAUGGGGCAUAUGUAGCCAGCAAACCAAGGAAAAGCCUUUUAUUCGGCCAGCCAGAAUUAGAUCUGGUUUCUUGGCAACGGAUGCUGUAUCAUCGGAUCCAGGGAAGAUGGUAUGUGGGAUUUGUGACAAGCUGUUGAGGCGUAAACCUUUCUUUCUCGGUAGCACGCUGUCUUCGACUGAAGUCUCUGUUGUUGCAGUUUUAGUUUGCGGCCAUCUUUACCAUGCAGAUUGUUUGGAGCAGAAAACAAGUUUUGAAGAUAGACGCGACCCCCACUGCCCAUUGUGUGCAGGAUUAUUGCCCAAGGUUGAAGAUUCAAGAGAGUAGAGUUAGUGAGAACGGUCUUUGGGUUUUUAUAUCGGAAACCUAUGAGGCAGAAACUGUACUUUCUUGCGAACACCUGUCUUCAACAACAACGCUCAUAAGGAGUCCUAUUGAAACCAAGAAAUAUAGGCCUGCCUGCCAUCCACCCCAGAAUAAAUGAAGUUUGAACUCCGUGGCAACGUAUGUUUGCAGCCAUGAUUUCAUGAAGACUCUGCUUCGAGCACAAAACAAGUUAGAAGACAGAUGCUGCCACCUAAUUUUGUCCAUUGUGUGCGCCCAAGGUUCAAACGUUCAAGGUUCGAGUGGGCAUAAGUUGGUUGUAAAGUUGUUAACUUGACUCCAUUGAUAGCCUAGUACUGAGUACUUGAUAAAAGAAUCACCAAGGGUUCGUCGGAAGCUUUCUUAAGCAGAUUAACUCCUAGACAGGCGAAAACUUUCGGUUUGGACUUCGAUGUUAAACUGUAGUUUGUAUUCAGUAGCUAAUGACUGUUUUUAAUGCCCUAGAAGUUAGAGGAAGCAAGCUUUGUGAGUAAUGUACGAAUUCUAGUUGAUGUCAUUUUUUGGAUGUUAUUUGCAUAUUCAUAGUGUAUGGAUUUGUUUUCCGCUUUUCUGCAAA